rnacentral:rRNA from 1 species
UACGGGGGGAGCAAGCGUUGUUCGGAUUUACUGGGCGUAAAGGGCGCGUAGGCGGCGCAACAAGUCACUUGUGAAAUCUCCGGGCUUAACCCGGAGCGGUCAAGUGAUACUGUCGUGCUAGAGUGCGGAAGGGGCUACUGGAAUUCUCGGUGUAGCGGUGAAAUGCGCAGAUAUCAGGAAGAACACCAAUGGCGAAGGCAGCUCUCUGGGACGGUACUGGACGCUGAGACGCGAAAAGCGUGGGGAGCGAACAGG